rnacentral:lncRNA from 1 species
GGGGAUUGAACUCGGGGGCACUUGACCACUGAGCCACAUCCCCAGCCCUAUUUUGUAUUUUAUUUAGAAACAGGGUCACACUGAGUUGCUUCAAAGCUAAGGCUGGCUUUGAACCUGAGAUCCUCCUGUCCCAGCCUCCCGAGCUGCUGGGAUUACAGGCAUGUGCCACCAUGCCUGGCUCAUUAUGGUUUUAAUUUGCACUUUUCCUAAUGGCAAAUGAUGUUGAACAUCUUUUCAUGUGCUCAUUUGCCAUCUCUAUAUCAUUUUUAGCAAAAGGUCUGUUUAAAUCAUUUCACUAAUUUUUUAAAGUGGGUUGUUUUCUCACUGUUGGUUUUUUGUUGUUAUUGUUGUUGUUGUUGCUGCUGCUGCUGUUGUUGUUAUUUGGUACCAGGGAUGGAACUUAGAGGUACUCCACCACUGAAACACAUCCCCAGCCCUAUUUUGUAUUCUAUUUAGAGACAGGGUCUCACUGAAUUGCUUAGGGCCUCACAGUUGCUGAAGCUGGUUUUGAACUUGCGAUUCUCCUGUCUCUGCCUCCCAAGGUGCUGGGAUUACAGGUGUGUGCCACCCCGCCCGGCCUUACUGUUCAGUUUUGAGAAAUCUUUUUGUAUUUUUGAUGUCUUGUUGCAAUCCUUUGUUAGCUAUGAGAGUUGCAAAUAUUUUUCCCUGUCUCUAGCUUUUUAAAUUUCUUUAAACAUUGUUUUCAACAGAGCAAAAGUUUUUAGUUUUGUUGGAGUCAAAUUUACACAUUUUUUAUUUUUCUGUUUUUUAAUUUUUUUUGUACCAGGGAUUGAACUCAGGGGCACUCAACCACUGAGCCACAUCCCCAGCCCUAUUUUUUAUUUUAUUUAGAGACAAGUUCUCACUGAGUUGCCUAACACGUUGCUCUUGCUGAGGCUGGCUUUGAAUUUGGGAUCCUCCUGCCUCAGUCCUCAGCCACUGGGAUUACAGGCUUGCCUGGCAAACUUACACACUUUUUUAAAAUGAACUGUGCUUUUGACCUAAGGAUACUUUGCCUAACUCAAAGUCCUGAAGAAUUUUCUCCUGUGUUGUUUCCUUUUCAAAAUUUAUAUUUUGCAAACAUAUUUAUCAAUUAUGGGCUGAUUUUUAUAUGGAAUGUGAGAAUUAGAUUGAGUUUCAAUUUUUUUUUUGCAUAUUGAUGGCUAGUUGUUUAUUGGAAACUAUCCUUACUUCUUUGAAUUGCCCUUGCACCUGGCAACAUUGGCAGAUUUAUACAUUUCAAC